rnacentral:rRNA from 1 species
AGUAACGCGUGGGUAACCUGCCUUAUACAGGGGGAUAACAGUCAGAAAUGGCUGCUAAUACCGCAUAAGCGCACAGAGCUGCAUGGCUCAGUGUGAAAAACUCUGGUGGUAUGAGAUGGACCCGCGUCUGAUUAGCUAGUUGGUAAGGUAACGGCUUACCAAGGCGACGAUCAGUAGCCGACCUGAGAGGGUGAACGGCCACAUUGGGACUGAGACACGGCCCAAACUCCUACGGGAGGCAGCAUG